AACGAACGCUGGCGGCAGGCCUAACACAUGCAAGUCGAGCGCGCCCUUCGGGGUGAGCGGCGGACGGGUUAGUAACGCGUGGGAACGUGCCCAGAUCUAAGGAUAGCCACUGGAAACGGUGAGUAAUACCUUAUACGCCCUUACGGGGGAAAGAUUUAUCGGAUUUGGAUCGGCCCGCGUUAGAUUAGGAUAGUUGGUGGGUAACGGCCUACCAAGUCUACGAUCUAUAGCUGGUUUUAGAGGAUGAUCAGCAACACUGGGACUGAGACACGGCCCAGACUCCUACGGGAGGCAGCAGUGGGGAAUCUUGGACAAUGGGCGCAAGCCUGAUCCAGCCAUGCCGCGUGAGUGAUGAAGCCCCAAGGGUCUAAAGCUCUUUCGCCAGGGAUGAUAAUGA
rnacentral:rRNA from 1 species